GCAACAAGCAAAGCAAUCAAAGCGCUCCUGUUUCCAGCUGCUAAGGUAUAAGAAAUCUCUUCUCAGUAUAAGCGUUCGUGAUUCUGCAGUGAAUUAGAAAUUAGAAUAGGACUGCUUGAAAGCCAAAAGGGGACAGCAAAAUUUACGGAAUUGCAAGGACAGCAGUGAACUGAAUAAUCACAUUAUGGUAACAGAGGUAGAACCCCUUUAAGUUAUUGCUGUCUGCUAUUCCAAUCUGUCAAAAGAAAUACAAAUGACCUCUGAUAAUCUACACAACAAUGUUAAACCCAGGAUUUCUACACAACAAUGUUAAACCCAGGAUUGUAACAUACACAUCUGAUAUAGCAGGAUAAAAUUAAGCAUAUGACGAAAUUUUAUCAUGGACCUGUCGACUGUUUCAGGAUGCACUGUUAUCCUUGAGGCCUUAAACCUAGAAGAGUGAAGUGCAAGUUACUUCUCUGGCCAGCAUGUCCUUCAAUCUAAUUACCAAGGUAUAUUUCUACCUGUAGGUCCCACUCAUAAAAAAGAAACAACACCCAUAAACCUGAAACUGUUACCAAAAGCUAGUUGAUGUCAUAUGGAAAUGGUACAGCCUAGUUCCUUGGCAGCAGUAUCAAGAAAUUGAAUAGGCAUUCCUGUUGCAAGUCGGCUAUGAGCUUCCCAAGUCAAGCACUUCUCUAUAUCAGCUUGCCAAUCAAUGACAUCUAUGUUAAAGUACUGAUAAGAGGGUCCACGAAUGUCAUUUAUGUCCACUCGGUUAGCAGUAGGUCUUAUUGAAACAGUAUGCAAAAUACCACGAAGAACUGAUGUGCUAAGAGCACGGACAUGUGCACUUGGAUGUGAAAGGCAUCGGAUGGUAGCUGGUAGUCGACACUGCAUGAAUCAACCAAAAGAAAUCAAAUCAGCAUGUGUAUGGUGUGGAUUUCAUCUAGCAUGGGACAUCCCAAUAACUCACUAGAUAGCAUUAUGUAUCGGUGCAUGAGUGGCCUUUGUGUCAAAACAUCAUUCAACCAAAAGUUCAAGCUCACGGGUCCAAGAAUGGGUUUUUCAUAUUUCCAAAACCCCAUUCAUAAAGAAGUCCACAAAGCUUGAACCAUUGAAAUUUAAUUAAUAAUACAGCAGUAUACCUUGAUACUAUGUCAAAAAACCCUUCAACCUAAAAGCUCAAUCUCAUAACUAUUAGUCCAAGAAUGGGUUUUAUUAUAUCUUUAAUAGUACGUGUAGUUUAUGGGUGUAUGCAAUCUUUGGACUAUAUGGAAUUGGAUAUGAAAAUGGGGUUUUUUUUAACCUUCAAUAGAUUUGAAAGGCCGUCUGCAAUUGCAAAUCCAGAUUCUCCCCAUUCCAGCACAGGCUGAACUGCUCUAGCUGUUGCUUCCAGUAACUCCAGCUGUGGUAAAGUGCAAGCUUCUCCAUCCACAAGCAUUCCAUCUGUGGCCCGUAGAAGUAGGUCCGACGCACUUGCCAAAAUUACCAAUGCUUCUGGUGUAUCAUGAUUUCUCAUUAGUUCUACCAUCAAUCUGACUAUUCUCUGGUUGAUUCUCCACAUUUUCUGACCCUGAUCAUCAUCUUUGGCAAUCCAAGGUUGCAAUUCCCUCUCCGCCUGACAAGCACACAAAGCAAUGAAAGUGACUAUGCAAAGUAAUCGAGUAAAUAAAAAGAACAAAACAAAAUUGCUGACUUGGACACCCACUAGGCCGAACCACCAAAAUAGGGCAAUUAAACAUCCCAGAAAUACUUCAAAUAGAUUUUUUUUGGAACUAUAUGUUUAUCGGUUGGUAUAUUUAAAACCAACAGGGAUGGUGGUUCUGAGUUUCUAUUUUCCUGUUUUGAUGGUGUUACCUUUCACAAUAACUGGAUGUUCAAGCAAGGGACCAAGGAAAAACCUAAACAAUUUCAUGUUUGUUGACAAAAUUUACAAGUUGAACAAAAUUUGGACCUGAAGAACAACUGCUGUAGCUGCUUUUGUAGGUGAUGCUGAUACAACAUUGCAUAGUGCGUCCACAACCUGUCUCCAUCCUUGUUGCGCAGAAGUGCUUUCUGCACUAGGUUGAGUUUCAGGUGUUGCAAUCAGUUUGUGCCAUAGAAGUGAGACGACAGAGAAACAUAACUCUUGUUUCUCCACAAGCACGGUUCUUAAAAGAACUUGUGCACUGUAGUUGAAUCCAAUGUGCCUGUCCAUUGUUAAGAAAUUGGCCAAAUCUGAAGCAUCUAAUGGGAAACCUGCAAUACCCUUACCCAAGGUACUUCCUGAACCUCCUUCCGAGUGUGAUGAUCUCUCAGUCAUGAUUUUAGUAUCUGAAAGAGCAGAUUCUUCACAUUGUGAAGCAGAUGGCUCACCUGAAUCAAAGCAGCCACUGCUUGCUCUUUUGUUUUGCCUUUUGCCAUCAAAACACAUAAGGGAAUCUUUCCAAACUGGUACUUGCAAGUAGGCCUCUAAAGGCUCAGCCUUGGUAACUAUAGAUGCAACAGCUUUACUGUGAAUAUCAAUGAGGUUAUACAGUGAUGACGCCCUGGUGUAAAUUUCAUUAUCCCACUUGCACCGCAUCAAAACAGAGAGAGCAUGCAUGCAAGCCUUUGACCGCCUGAAUAAUUCAGAAACAUGAGCAGCAACCAUAGCUGCAGCUACUAUCUCAUUUGAGCUGUAACUCCAGGAGGUACCAACAGAAGAUGGUUUCAAAGAAAAAAGUGCCUCCAAAAUGGCUAAGAUUCUAUGAGUAUGAUGAAUUGCAGAGUCAAAGCUACUUUGGAACUCACUAAUAGAUCCAUUGGAUCCAUUUAAUUUUACAGGCUUGGCCACAGUCUGCACAUUUUUAGAACUUGAAUGAUUACUGCCCCUUGAAACAAAAGGGAACAACUGAAGCUCGCAGGCGAGAGCACAUACAGCAGCAAGCACAUAAGAAUCAAAUGCAGCAACAGGACCUUGUUUUUUCAAUUUCCUAGAUUUCAUGUUGCUUUGCAUUUCAGAUGUUAGUUGUGAGUUCUUAUUGCUGUCAUCUGGUAGAAAACUUUCGUCAUCUCUUGGUCUCUUACUCCCUUUGAAUUGAGCUUCAUGACUAACACACACAGUUAACACAACAAAUAGUAAGCGUGAAGCAAGCUCUACAGAAGCACAUGAUUCUAAGAAGAGGGAAUGGACCAUUGUGCGAAGCUCUGCCACAGCAAGAUUUUUGGAGGCAGAUGCCAAGCCAGAAAUAUAUCUAGCCUUUCUGGUUUGCUCUCGGGAAGAUUCAGGUGGAAAUGUUCUUGUAAGAAUAGCUUCUACAGUAGCAACAAAUAUCUUCACAAGACAUGCUUCAGAUGGACUUCCACGAGGAAGGUAUUCCAAGACCUUAAGAAGAGGUAUGUACAGGUUCCAUGAUAAUAUAGGAGGCUGCAAUGGAGAUGCUACUACAAUUUCAGGAAGAUCAACUGCUGAGGAACCCAAGGGAAUCAGGCCAUAAGCAGCUUCCCAUAUGGUGCAAAUUCUCCAUUCAACCUCGGGGCCAUGGGCACAAAGCAUAGAUGCAAUCCCUUGAGCAGUUGCUUCAAUAGUUGCUUCUGCUGCAGGCACUUCUAUCUGCUUUCUGUAGCUUGAAAUAUAACCACCCAGGGGUUCAUGUUGAGCUUCAACUCCCUCAACUUGCCUUAGUGGAGGAAACAGCAAUGCAGGCUGUGAGAGUAUGCGAAAAAGUAAGGCUGCUGCAGCAUCAGCAGCAAUUCCUGCUCUCAUGGACAUUGCAAUCCCAAUUGCACGCAAGAAAUGCAAGUGCAUCCAGUUCCUGGGAAGCCUUAUGCCAGAUGCAUAAUCUUCAGCAGCUCGGAGGAGUUCCACAAGCUGUACGGCAGCAUCAAGUGCAUCUGGAGCCCACGAAGGUGGUGCUUCUAAAAGUCCAAGAAGAAGCCGCUGGGUGGCACUUGGAGUUGCAAUGGCAUAAUACCGAUGAAACAAACGUGCAUAUGGCUCAAGGGCCGGUAGCCCAGCAACUAAAUGUUCAUCUAGAGCUGUUGUAGGAGGAGGAAGUAAAAGUGCAGGGACAGCAGCCGCAGUUAAUGUAGCAGUCUCAUAGCGAGCCACUUCAUCAUCGCACACACUUAAUAUAACCCCAGCACCAUUGGCUACAGCCCAUCUUGGGGUUGAUGGCAUAAGCUGAGGAUGCUUCCCAGAUCCACGAGAUGAAGCAGUUGUAGGUGGCUUGAGCUCUCCAGCUGCAUAUUUACCCAUGACACCACUGCACCAACGGAAGUAAUCACUUCUAAUACCCAAAGGUGCAGCAAGUAAUAUGUCCGUAAUCCAGGGGGACAAAGGCCUCAAAGGUUUCCUCUCCUGCUGUACUGAAGGCAUUGGGCAGGAUUCCCCAUCUAUGGAGCCACUACUUGUAGCAUGGUUGCCACCAUUGCUUCUUUCUAUUUCACUAUUUUGUUGUUCCACCUUAUAUAUUGGGCGAUUGUAAUGAGUCAAAAUUCUCAAAAUCUCCCCGCAUGCCAAAGCCCAUUGUUCAGAAUAUCCAUUCUCGCUGCUUGGGCAGACCAAGGAAAUGAAAGAAGCAAAAGGAGGACUACUCCUAUCGUACACAAGUGUACCAUCUAUUAAACAUGAAAUAAUUGGAAGAACAACUGCAUGCCCAUGCUCCGGAUGAUGGAGAACAAAUGUAGCCAAAACAUCAUCGAAAAGGCGUUUUUCUGUCGAUGGAUAACGAUUACGAAUCAGCUCAGCAAUAUCAUCAGGAAAUUGUUCAGAUGUAAAUUGCCCGAAGUACUCGACAUAAGCAGUAAUUUGCGCCUUUCGUUGUUGGGCAUCUUGUGGAGGUGGCCAAAACAAUGAUGAGAACUGAAGACCAUCAAUCCAUCUCUCAGAAGAACUUGCCAUAAAAAAGUUUUUUUUCCCCUUCCAAACAAACCCUUUCCUUUUUAUGCCAAAUAACAAAACCGAAUAUAAAACCACAAGCUUCCCUUCCAAAAACUACCAAUCAAGAAUCAAUAUAUCGUAGUUCAACAUUCCCCCAAAAUGGUCCACCGAGCUCCCAGAAUCCUCUAUUGAAAACUAAGAAUUGGGCUUGAUUCUGCGCUGAAAGAAUUGAAAAACAGAUCAGUACACCUCUCUCAAUGAAAAUUUCAUCUCAGUAUGUUUUUUUCUCAUCAAAAUUCGAAGCCUGUGCUCCUGUAAAGUGUUAAACUUCCAAAACCUGAUAGUUGGAAUGGAAAUUACGAUUGGAAACAGCUGCUCUGGCACUUGUGUACUGGAAUUUACAGGUAUCUGAAAAUUGCUUUGAUUUUGCUGAUUUCUUUCAGAUAUUUGUUUCUGUGACUUGUAAAAACGAGAUUUUUCUUUUUCUUUUUUUUUCCUUCCAAUUUAUCACAGAAUU
rnacentral:misc_RNA from 1 species